rnacentral:rRNA from 1 species
UACGUAGGGUGCAAGCGUUGUCCGGAAUUAUUGGGCGUAAAGAGCUCGUAGGCGGUCUGUCGCGUCGGCUGUGAAAACUCGGGGCUCAACUCCGAGCUUGCAGUCGAUACGGGCAGGCUAGAGUUCGGCGGGGAGACUGGAAUUCCUGGUGUAGCGGUGAAAUGCGCAGAUAUCAGGAGGAACACCGGUGGCGAAGGCGGGUCUCUGGGCCGUAACUGGACGCUGAGGAGCGAAAGCAUGGGGAGCGAACAGG